AUUCCAUGAUGACGUUCAUAAUAGUUCUUUAAACCUUUCCCACGCCUCAUAAAAGGAAUCAUCAUCCAUCUGUUGAAAGGUAGUGAUCUCGUUCCGUAACU
rfam:Gossypium raimondii Chr01_contig_847, whole genome shotgun sequence.